rnacentral:rRNA from 1 species
GUAGCGUUAUCGAGAGUACCUGAAGAAAAAGCAUCGGCUAACUCCGUGCCAGCAGCCGCGGUAAUACGGAGGAUGCGAGCGUUAUCCGGAUUUAUUGGGUUUUAAAGGGUGCGUAGGCGGAAUGCCAAGUCAGCGGUAAAAUCGCGGGGCUCAACCUCGCUCCGCCGUUGAAACUGGCGUUCUUGAGUGGGCGAGAAGUAUGCGGAAUGCGUGGUGUAGCGGUGAAAUGCAUAGAUAUCACGCAGAACUCCGAUUGCGAAGGCAGCAUACCGGCGCCCAACUGACGCUGAAGCACGAAAGCGUGGGUAUCGAACAGGAUUAGAUACCCUGGUAGUCCACGCAGUAAACGAUGAAUACUAGCUGUUCGGGGCAAAUGGGCCUUGAGUGGCACAGCGAAAGCGUUAAGUAUUCCACCUGGGGAGUACGCCGGCAACGGUG